GGAUUAGAUACCCUGGUAGUCCACGCCGUAAACGAUGUCUACUUGGAGGUUGUGCCCUAGAGGUGUGGCUUUCGGAGCUAACGCGUUAAGUAGACCGCCUGGGGAGUACGGUCGCAAGAUUAAAACUCAAAUGAAUUGACGGGGGCCCGCACAAGCGGUGGAGCAUGUGGUUUAAUUCGAUGCAACGCGAAGAACCUUACCUACUCUUGACAUCCAGAGAAUCUAGCGGAGACGCUGGAGUGCCUUCGGGAGCUCUGAGACAGGUGCUGCAUGGCUGUCGUCAGCUCGUGUUGUGAAAUGUUGGG
rnacentral:rRNA from 1 species